rnacentral:lncRNA from 1 species
AUCGACCCGCUAGUAUGCAAGGCACCACCCUUUUCACUCGCUCUGUUCCUCUGGUUUGUAGCACUCUUCUUGCGAAACUCUACUGAAUUCCAAUGUGCAAGCAAAGAGUUCCAAAUGAUUUCGCCCAUCCAGUAAGGGCGCUCCCCUGCAAUUCGGGCAUCCCUAAACAUCUCUGAGAGCCGAUGAGAUGCUUUCAUGUGAAAAUUUCUAUGUAUUUGACUUUCAUGUUCAGCUUUCCACUGC